rnacentral:tRNA from 1 species
GGCCAGUUAGCUCAGUCAGUAGAGCAUAGUGCUGCCAGCGCUAAGGUCACGGGUUUGAUUCCCAUUAGGUCC